GACGAACGCUGGCGGCGUGCCUAAUACAUGCAAGUAGAACGCAGUUGCGAACGGGUGAGUAACGCGUGGGUAACUGCCUCAUAGCGGGGGACAACUAUUGGAAACGUUAGCUAAGACAGCAUACUAUUAUAUGGACCUACGUUGUAUUAGAAAGUUGUUGAGGUAAAGGCGAACCAAGGCGACGGUAAGUAGCCGACCUGAGGGGGUGAUAGGCCACACUGGGACUGGGACACGGCCCAGAUUCCUACGGGGAGCCGCCGUAGGGACUCUGGGGAAAUAGACGUAGGGCUGACCGAGCAAUGGGCGGUGAGUGAAGAAGGCUUUCGGAUCGUAAAGCUGUGUUGUUAGAGAAGCGGUAACUAAAGAGUAAGGGACGGCUAACUACGUGCCAGCAGCCGCGGUAAUAC
rnacentral:rRNA from 1 species